rnacentral:rRNA from 1 species
GAUGAACGCUGGCGGCGUGCUUAACACAUGCAAGUCGAACGGUGAAGGCGGAGCUUGCUCUGCUGGAUCAGUGGCGAACGGGUGAGUAACACGUGAGCAAUCUGCCCCUGACUCUGGGAUAAGCGCUGGAAACGGCGUCUAAUACUGGAUACGAGCUGAGAAGGCAUCUUCAGCAGCUGGAAAGAAUUUCGGUCAGGGAUGAGCUCGCGGGCUAUCAGCUUGUUGGUGAGGUAAUGGCUCACCAAGGCGUCGACGGGUCGCCGGCCUGAGAGGGGGAACGGCCACACGGGGACUGAGACACGGCCCAGACUCCUACGGGAGGCAGCAGUGGGGAAUAUUGCACAAUGGGCGAGAGCCUGAUGCAGCAACGCCGCGUGAGGGACGACGGCCUUCGGGGUGUAAACCUCUUUUAGCAGAGAAGAAGCGAAAGUGACGGUACCUGCAGAAAAAGCGCCGGCUAACUACGUG